rnacentral:rRNA from 1 species
CCCAGAUGUUUACCGUGAAAAAAUUAGAGUGUUCAAAGCGGGCAGAUAUUUUUCCUGCCACCGAAUACAUUAGCAUGGGAUAAUGGAAUAGGACCCUGACCUCCUAUUUUCAGUUGGUUUUGUUUACAGCGAGGUUAUAUCAGGGUAAUGAUUAAUAGGGAUAGUUGGGGGCAUUAAUAUUUAAUUGUCAGAGGUGAAAUUCUUGGAUUUAUGAAAGAUUAACUUCUGCGAAAGCGUUUGCCAAGGAUGUUUUCAUUAAUCAAGAACGAAAGUUAGGGGAUCGAAGACGAUCAGAUACCGUCGUAGUCUUAACCAUAAACGAUGCCGACCAGCGAUUAGGAGACGUUGAAUACAAAACACCGCCGUUAAUCCUUUCGGGGGUUAAUGGUUGGUGAAUGACUCCCCUAGCA